GCCCUCGUGACGGAAUCGGAAUACGUGUAGCGUUCAGAACGCUAUGCCGCAAGGCUUGUGGGUUCGAGUCCCACCGAGGGCA
rnacentral:tRNA from 1 species